UGAACGCACGUCAAUCCAGCACUUUUUUUGUGCUACUACAAAAACUCAGUCAAAAAUGUCAGCUUUAUGAAUCGUUUAACAAAUGAGUUAUAAACACGUAUAAACUAGCAGACAAAACAAGGCAGAACUAAUGUAAAUGUUUUGUCGUGAAUGAAACUCUUUUAGCGGGGCUAAUGCAAUUCUAAAACAAGCUAGCUAACAACUGUCAUUUAAAUUAGCCGGUGUGUUGACAAGCUUUCUGAAGGCCAGGUUUUUGGCCUUUAAAGUUAAGGCUGUUUCUGAAGUACCCGAUUAAAGGACGUGCAAAUAUCACUACAUGAUCCGUCGAUAGAGUUCCUCUCCACUGAAGAGUAAGGCAGCUGCUAAGAUGACUCAUUCUGCUAAAAUGGGAAUUCAACAUCCUCAAAAGACUGCACACGCCAGAGUCCUGAGGUAUGUAAGAGUAAGAUCCUCUCUUUCACAAGGGGACCAGGUUGCCCUUAAAAGACUGAACAGGAUGAGGACACAAUCCAAAGUGUGUGUGACUAGACACAGUCAAACUGCGAGAAAGAGAAGAAGAAAACCCCUUAAACUCAAGCUUCACUGUGAAGAUAUGUCCCCUAAAAAACAAAAUGAAUUGUCCCUUAUUUAGAAAAAAGAAAACAUGGACGUCCUACAGUAUAUUCUGCACUGGACAAAGAGGAGGGUUGAAAUGAACGGGGGAGUAUGAGCUGCACUGAUUUUUAUUGUAAACAAGUGGAAGAGGAGCCAGCAGACCCUGAGACACAUGAAAUCUGCCAUGUAACAUAGUUUGGGAAUUGGGAAUUUGAAGGCCUGGAGGCAUUUGUGGAAGGAGAGCCUGAGCCACGCUUAACUGGACACUAUGAGGAGACACCAGCAGCCGAGGCAGAGGAAAGCAACACAAAUUUGUCUCUGCAGGAGUUGGAUCUUUGUCCGUGCUGCACACAUCCUUCAGACUCUGUUUUCCUGCAGCAGCAUGUCAAGCAUCAUCACCGGGAUCAUGUCUAUUGUCAACUUGGUCCUCUAGAUACCAGUCCCUCAAAGCUCUCUCUAGUAAAGUGACUUUGGAACAUUUUGUCCCCAAGAAACACGUGCAUUCAUAUUCAUGCAAAAU